GAUGGGGAAUGUUUAUUAUCAUUCGAAAGAACAUUCUUUGACUAUAUUGGAGAAAAAGACAGAUCGAACGCAUGGACCGAGGAACUAGAGGCAAUAAGGCUAAACAACUCCUUCUAACAUACUCAACCAUUUUUUAUAAAGAUGAUUCCAAACCAGGAGGAACCAAAAUUGUGGCAAAUUUCAUUAAGAUCUGAUGCAAGGUGAUGCAAGACCAAUUAAACACUUCUGCUACCCUUGAAAGACUUAUGAAUCAGGUAUUAAAUGGAUUGCACCGGAAGACAUGUUUGGUAUACUUCAUCAAUUUCAUCGUGUUGGAUAAAAGCUUCAAGAACGGGAAGAGGAUUUCCACCGGAUAGCUAACGCUGAUGUAGAGCUGAGUCCGAAGAAGUGUUCCUUUUUCAAAAAAUAAAUAAACUACUUAGGACACAAA